GAUGAAGAACGUAGCGAAAUGCGCUACUUGGUGUGAAUUGCAGAAUCCCGUGAACCAUCGAGUCUUUGAACGCAAGUUGCGCCUCAAGCCAUUAGGUUGAGGGCACGUCUGCCUGGGCGUCACAUAUCGUUGCCUGAUGCCAGUUUCCUCGUGAUGGGUGACUGUGCAGGGCGAAUGAUGGCUUCCCGUGAGCAUUGUUGCCUCAUGGUUGGUUGAAAAUUGAGUCCUUGGUAGGGAGCGCCGUGAUAGAUGGUGGUUGAGUGACGAACGAGACCCAAUCAUGUGAGACCCCUACCGAAUUUGGCCUUCAUGACCCACAUGCGUCUUUGGAACGCUCAUGACGAGACCUCAGGUCAGGCGGGGCUACCCGCUGAGUUUAAGCAUAUCAAUAAGCGGAGGA
rnacentral:misc_RNA from 1 species